GAAUUCACUAGUGAUUCAGGCCUAACACAUGCAAGUCGAGCGGUUGAGGUAGCUUGCUACCGAUGCAGCAAAAGACGGGUGAGUAAUACAUGGGAAUCUGCCUGGUAGUGGGGGACAACGUUUCGAAAGGAACGCUAAUACCGCAUACGCCCUACGGGGGAAAGGGGGGGAUCUUCGGACCUCACGCUAUCAGAUGAGCCUAGGUACGAUUAGCUAGUUGGUGAGGUAAAGGCUCACCAAGGCGACGAUCGUUAACUGGUCUGAGAGGAUGAUCAGUCACACUGGAACUGAGGCACGGUCCAGACUCCUACGGGAGGCAGCAGUGGGGAAUAUUGGACAAUGGGCGAAAGCCUGAUCCUUUUAGAGGCGCGUGUGUGAAGAAGGUCUUCGGA
rnacentral:rRNA from 1 species